GAUGAACGCUGGCGGCGUGCCUAAUACAUGCAAGUCGAGCGAACAGACGAGGAGCUUGCUCCUUUGACGUUAGCGGCGGACGGGUGAGUAACACGUGGGUAACCUACCUAUAAGACUGGGAUAACUUCGGGAAACCGGAGCUAAUACCGGAUAAUAUUUCGAACCGCAUGGUUCGAUAGUGAAAGAUGGCUUGCUAUCACUUAUAGAUGGACCUGCGCCGUAUUAGCUAGUUGGUAAGGUAACGGCUUACCAAGGCAACGAUACGUAGCCGACCUGAGAGGGUGAUCGGCCACACUGGAACUGAGACACGGUCCAGACUCCUACGGGAGGCAGCAGUAGGGAAUCUUCCGCAAUGGGCGAAAGCCUGACGGAGCAACGCCGCGUGAGUGAUGAAGGUCUUCGGAUCGUAAAACUCUGUUAUUAGGGAAGAAUAAACGUGUAAGUAACUGUGCACGUCUUGACGGUACCUAAUCAGAAAGCCACGGCUAACUACGUG
rnacentral:rRNA from 1 species